AUGAGAAUCACCAUCCCAUGGCUCAGCUCGGACAGGGGAGCUCUGGCCCAAGGCCACUCCGUGCUCCUGCAGAUGCCCCCGGUCAUCUGUCUGUCUCAGGGGUUCAGUGGGUCCCCUGGAGGCCCCUUCCCAGCCCAGACUCUGGAUGCUCUGAGGGGCGGAGGCCCACCGCUCAUGCCAAUGUGCCCACUCCAGCGUCCUGCUAGCAGUGCCCCUUGUGGACCCCCUGUCCCCUCACCUCCCCCAGGGCCUCUGCUCUCUGGCGAGCCAGUCGCUGGGAACCCCACCAGGCAGUUCAUCUGCAGCACUCUGGCUGGGCUUCCCAGAGCUUCUGAGAAGAGAUUCCCUGCUUCAGGUGCUGGUGACACCUCCGAGAGGAUUUCGCACCUCCACUUCAUGAGGAGCCCCCUAGCAAGGCCGCUAAUGAGUCUGCUAAGUGGGCACACCUCACCUGACACCUUCCUGCCAGGAACCCCGCCACCACGCCCUGCAUACCCUGUGCCACCACGGUCCUAUCGCGCCUGCCUCUGCAGCCUGUACUGGGGGGCUCCCGACUCCGGGGGUGGGGGCUGCAUGGGCUAUGGAGGAUCCGCAGAGGGGGGCACCCUUCCCAGGCAGCACGGCCAUCUAGGGCACAGCCCUGAGCUCGGCUAUUGAGUUUCACGUCAACCAUUCCCUGGGCAUUGCAGAAGCAGGCAGGGAUCGAGUGACUGCGUAACACAAGCUCUCUCCCAGGGAACGAGGUCAGCAGAGUCCCCGUGCACCACAGGAGCAUCGCUGGAGGUGGCAGGUGCUGCUCUCAUGGGCCCCGGGGCCUCGGCCCAGGCCCAGCCCCUCUGCCCUCCUCUCCUGUGCCCAGUGAGUGGAUGGCAGCGCUCUCUGAAGUGGGUUUCUCAGGCACCCCCAGAUGAGGGGAGGGGGUCACAGCAGGCUGGGGCUUGCAGGCUACGCUGGUCAGAGUGGCUAUUAGCUUUUUUACCCACUGGGGCUCCUUGUGACAUUGUGUUUGAGCUAAACGGUCUCAGGGCUUAAAAACGUUUGAGAAACCCCUGGAAACAGCCUGACCUCUCAGGUAGGCCCACUCUGGCCCUGGCUUUUAGAGUUCUACUUGCUGUUUGGGUGCUGGAGAGAGCCUGGGGCCUCCAUCUGGGGUCUAGGCUAAUUCAACCGUCACUUGUGUCUGCCUGGCCUGCGCCACAAAGCGCCGAAGGAAAUGGUGACCCACCCAGGUGCUCAGAGACUCCCUCUGGCCCCCUCACACCUCCUUGGGCAUGGCAAAGCCAGGCCCAAGCACGUGACCCCAGGUCUCCAGGGAGGGCUGGGGGCUCCGAAGGCCACCGGAUGGAGAANNNNNNNNNNNNNNNNNNNNNNNNNNNNNNNNNNNNNNNNNNNNNNNNNNNNNNNNNNNNNNNNNNNNNNNNNNNNNNNNNNNNNNNNNNNNNNNNNNNGAGGGCUGGGGGCUCCGAAGGCCACCGGAUGGAGAACAGGGUAGACCUGCCUUUUGUUCCAGGGUCUCUGACCACUCAGGCGUGCACUGAGCAAUGACCUUCAAAGUCCAGACGAAUCAACCACUGCUUUCUCCUCCUCGGUAAAGCAGGGCUGGUGAUGACAGUGCCUACCCCGUGGGAGAUGACAAAGUGGGUUCAAAGUUGUGAAGUGCUGAGAGCUGGGUCCUUCAUACAGGGGAUGCUGGGUAGCAUUGGAUACACACGCACACAUCUUUUUACAGUUUUAACUUAAAUCAACCCCCUCCUCACAAGUGCAUUAAGACUCCUAAAUUGCCCUGUUGUUACUGUUUAGUUGCUGAGUUGUGUCCAACUCUUUGAGACCCAGUGGACUAUAGCCUGCCAGGCUCCUCUGUAGAUGGGACUUUCCAGGCCAGAAUACUGGAGUGGGUUGCCAUUUCCUUCUCCUGGAUCUUUCCAACCCAGGGAGCAAACCCACGUCUCCUGCAUUGCAGGCAGAUUCUUCACCACUGAGCCACCAAGGAAGCCCCUAAAUUCCUCUCAAAUAAGAUGACAACGCCCAACCAUUAGCUAUCGAGCUUUGCACCAACCAGCCCCUCCAGCCCUGCUGUUGGGCAAGCCCGUUCCCUGCACCCAUGUCCCUCUCCUGCUCAUCAGUGGAGUGCCCCCUGUCUGGUGCUUCCUUCUCUCCGGACACCCGCUCACUUCAGGGGUUCCUCCCUGGCGAAGCCCGGGGCCCAUACAGUUGGCCUUAAGCCUCAGUCCUGGUUGGUCAGCCCACAGCUCAUCAGUGAAGUUGCAGCCCACCAUCCUAUAGGCUCUGGGCCCUCCUCCCUCACCUUGUCUGUUACACUGGAGGCCCCCAAAAGGUAAUCCUGGCCUCCCCCUUCUUCUUCCCCCGGGCUAGGGGAUGGGCCCAGUGGCUCAGGGCAACACAGACCGGAAAUGGGGGGGCACUGGCCUCCACAAUGAGGGUGACUCCAUCAGGCCCCGAAUAGAGGUCAGCCUUCUGCCUCCUCAGGCCUGGGCGGGACCCAAGGGCCAGCUCUGUAUCUGGGCAUGUGAGGCCUGGGAGGGAGCAGGGCCCGACCUGGGCUCUGGAGUAGGGUGUCACUUUCCUCCCCAGAGGACUCACCCUCAGGGCCUGGGGCCCCAGGCUCAUCUCACUGUCACUCCUGGGGCCGGGGCUUCCAGGCCUGCUCCCUGGGGUGGAAGGAGGAACAGCCCUGGUGACCGCAGGCUGCCCGCCCUUCCUGCCCCCAGUGGCACUCCAUGGUCAUUUCGCAAGGUCAUGGCAGGGAGGUGACAGGCAUUUGGUGGGNCCAUGGCCAUUUCGCAAGGUCAUGGCAGGGAGGUGACAGGCAUUUGGUGGGGUCUCCGCCCCGUCAACCUGGGGCAGGCGCCUGUGGCCCCAUUAACUGCUCGCCACCAGCAGGGACGCACCUGGCAGCCCCAGGGAGGCUGGCAAAGCUGCUGGUGACUCCAGGGCCCAGACCUUUCAACCAGAGCUGACGGCACCACGGAGACAGGCCGGCAGGGCCGGCUGCUGAGUGCUAUAACAGGAUGCCCACCUGGGGCCCAGGAGACAGACAGGGUCCUGGCCAGACUGACUGGGGCCGAGGCUCCUGCCAGGCGGAGAGUGACACCAUGUCCCCGCCGGGGCUUGGGGAGGAAGGUGACAAGGCCUGUUUCCUCAGCAGGCCCAGCCCUUCGCUGCUCGCCCAGGAAGCCUCUGGAGUCGGGGGUGGCGGUGGGGGAGUCGGCGAGAGCUAGGGGACUGGAGGAGGUGGCCUGCGUCACGGCGCCUGCUGACUGCCCCACCCUCGGUGGCCGCUGGCUGCUAUAAAUAUGGCUCCUGCCUCCGAUGGUGCAGGAGGUGACCUAGAAUUGUGGGCUCUGGGGCCUCCUGGGCACCCCUCCCCGCCAGCAUCAGAGGCAGCAGCCUGACCAGAAUGUCCUUGCAGCUCGAGAGCCCACCCACACGGUGAGCACGGCCCCGGCUGGGGCUGGGGAGACCCCAGCACUGAGGGGGACGGCGGCUGCGGCUUCCCAACCCAUGUCCCACCACCGUCCUUUCUACCACUUGGCAGCAAGCGCCAGGUCCCCCGAGAUCGAAGGCCUGGCCAGGCUGCAGAGGAGACAGAUGGGAGGCCCAAGACCACCCACUGAAGCCUCCACCCUAAAGCCCAAGGGCAGAGGCCCUAAGGCCAUUUGUUCCCGGUCCCCCACCCCUCCCUCAGUCCACAGUUCCUCAGCAACGCCACCUGGCUUGCAAACCUGCCACAGCCCGGAAGCCACCCUGGAUGGACUCGACUGUGACUGUCCUCCUUCCAGUCAGUGGCAAGCAUCUGAGUGAGCCCGUCCCGCCCUCGAGGGACCCCAGGCGGGCCCAGGCCCCAAACCCCAGGGCUGGGUGGGCCUGGGAGCAGAGGACACAGCGUGGCCCCAGGCCUGGCUGUUUCAAGGACCCCCAACCCCCACGUGUGGCCAGUUUGGUUCCAGACUCCCUGGCUCAGGGCAGCGCUGGGACCUAAGAGGAGAGGAAGCCAGGAUCAGCCCCAGGGGUGGGGCCCCAGGGUGUGAACACAAGUGAAACCUAAAAAUUAAUUUCCCGCACACAGCCAUCCUCCACCCUCCAACACACAAUCAGAGAGCCCACUACGUGCCAAGGGGCCACGGCAGUAAGUAAAGGCCCAGGUGGGGCCAGCCCUCAAGGAUCCGACAGGCCAGAAAGGAAAGACAGGCUGGAAGCUGAUCUUCACAUACGAUUGUGAAAAAUUCUACGACUUGUGCUCAGAAGAGGGGUCCUUGUCGGAGCCCCAGCAAAGAUCUGAGGGGCAGCUGCCUGAAGAAUUGGGAGCAGGAGCUGAGAUCUGAAGGAUAAGGCGGAGUAACGUGGCCACAUGGAGAGGGUGGCAGGUCCUUGUGCAGGGCAGGCGGGGGGCGGGGGAUGGAGCCCGGAGCGUGGAGCGAAGACCAGAACCAGCCAGACGGGAGCAGAGGGGAGGGACGCGCUGGAGAGGCUCCUGGGGUCUUGUGAGCCAGCUUCAUCCUGGAGCUGGGUGGGAAGCUCCGGGCCAAGGCAGGCAUGAUGCGGGAGAGGAGUCAGGGGCCAGAGAUACAGCAGAUGGCGGUGACCGACAGGCCGGG
ensembl:lncRNA